rnacentral:rRNA from 2 species
GCUUACGGCCAUACCACCCUGAACACGCCCGAUCUCGUCUGAUCUCGGAAGCUAAGCAGGGUCGGGCCUGGUUAGUACUGGAUGGAGACC